AGAGUUUGAUUCUGGCUCAGAACGAACGCUGGCGGCAGGCUUAACACAUGCAAGUCGAACGGUUCCUUCGGGGACAGUGGCAGACGGGUGAGUAACGCGUGGGAAUCUACCUAUUUCUGCGGAAUAACACAGGGAAACUUGUGCUAAUACCGCAUACGCCUCGUAAGAGGGAAAGAUUUAUCGGAGAUAGAUGAGCCCGCGUCUGAUUAGAUAGUUGGUGAGGUAACGGCCCACCAAGUCUACGAUCAGUAGCCGGACUGAGAGGUUGAACGGCCACAUUGGGACUGAGAUACGGCCCAGACUCCUACGGGAGGCAGCAGUGGGGAAUAUUGGGCAAUGGGGGGCCAACCCUGACCCAGCAACGCCGCGUGAAGGAAGAAGGCUUUCGGGUUGUAAACUUCUUUGACGAGGGACGAUAGUGACGGUACCUCGAAAACAAGCCACGGCUAACUACGUGCCAGCCGCAGC
rnacentral:rRNA from 1 species